UUGUCUAUAACAUAUGACAAUGGGUGUCAUGUACUUAAAAAAAAGAUAUUAAAAGCAGUGUCACAAACAACACAAAGCAAAAUCACUGACUAAUCAAAUCAAUCAUCACUAGAGGCACUGCUACAGAUGGAGCCAGCAUUUUGAUUUAUCUUGGUGUAGCAGUACGAGCGUUUUUGUCUUGUUUUUUCCCCUCGGUCUUUCUGUAGACUGUUGCUAUGGUUUCCCUUCCCCACUUCCGCCAGUCGUUGAGAGAGCCGGUAUAAAAACGGUAGUCCGCCCACCGGAUCUUCCUCUGCGCUCUCAUCGUCACCCGCGUUACUUCCGGGUCAGAGGUCGGGUGCCAGACAGGACGACAGUUUGUGUGCUGCUCCGUGCACCGUGUGUGCUGCUGUGGUCGUUGGCCGGUGGUGAAUGCUGGCGGCUGGAGUCCAAACCUUCCUCCUCGUGAGUGUGUGUUCUGAGAAGGUAUGCACAUCGUUACGUGCCACUGCAUCAAUCUUAGUGCAUCUAGCACAUGCUAAUAGUGUUUUCCUGUUGACUAUGUGUUGUAAGCACCUCAUUGGGUAGCUGCUGCUUUUUUUUUGUUUUUUUUUUUUUUUUUUUUUUUUGUUAUUUUGUGCUGCUUUGUUUGGUGUUAUUUUGUGCUGUUUUCACUGUAUUGCUGUAUAUUUGUUGCUGCCUACGGCGUUCUUCUGCGGCCGUCAGCGGCUUAACGACUUCCAAGAUACACGCUGUGCAGGACGAUUGUUCGGCCGUACACCGCGGUCCUAUGCAUAAGCAUUUUUUAUUUUAUUUUAUUGGGGACUACCCAACUGAUGUGCUAGUCUUUUUCCUUUUCAGUUGCUGUAGGCCGGUGGUGGCGGUGCUGGUGACCUGGUGGUGGGUUUCUUCACUGAGGGUGUGUUUGCCACUUGUGCCUGGUGAUUUAAGUUAUUUUUGCCUUAUGUUGGAGGAUCUGACCCCUGCACUAGCCCUUGCCCAUCCACUUCGGCCUCAGCCCUGAUUAGGUUUUUAUUUUAUUUUAUGUGAAUGAGUUUUAUGGAGUAUACUUUUUAAAAUCAAAUGUUGAAUAAAAUUUGUAUUUUCAAACUUUGAACCACGUCUCUUGCCCUCCAGUAACCACAAACCUUUGUGCCUUGUGUUUGAGCAGUUCCCUGGGUGAAAUUCCCAGGGUGGCCUCCUUAAUAAUAGUCAUG